rnacentral:rRNA from 1 species
CCUACGGGAGGCAGCAGUGAGGAAUAUUGGUCAAUGGACGCAAGUCUGAACCAGCCAUGCCGCGUGCAGGAAGACGGCUCUAUGAGUUGUAAACUGCUUUUGUACGAGGGUAAACGCAGAUACGCGUAUCUGUCUGAAAGUACCGUACGAAUAAGGAUCGGCUAACUCCGUGCCAGCAGCCGCGGUAAUACGGAGGAUUCAAGCGUUAUCCGGAUUUAUUGGGUUUAAAGGGUGCGUAGGCGGUCGGUUAAGUUAGAGGUGAAAUCCCGAGGCUCAACCUCGGAAUUGCAUCUGAUACUGUUGGGCUAGAGAGUACGUGCGGCAGGCGGAAUGUAUGGUGUAGCGGUGAAAUGCUUAGAUAUCACGCAGAACACCGAUUGCGAAGGCAGCUUAC